AGGCCAACGGGAGCCUCGACGAAGAAGAAGAAGCAGCGGAAGCGGAAAUGAGGCAGUUGUGUUUUGAAAGAGGGAAAUUUAAAACUCGACGGAGUAAAACCGACAUGAAUCAAAGCAACGAGAAGCAGAAGAACACGAGCUGAACGGAGCCGAACUUAAAGUUCUCAUCACACCAACAUGAAGAAGGUGAGAAGCUCCCGGCUGCACGACGCCGGCAACAUCGGGGAGGACUGUUGUGUCUUGUGCAGAUUAAGUGACGAUGAUCCGGCCAUGUUUGGAGAAAAGGUCACAAUAAAAGAGCACAAACUCACGGUCCACUACUUCUGUUUGCUGACGUCCUGUGGAGUUUACCAGCGAGGGAAGGACAAUGAGGGAGUCUUUGGUUUCCUGGUGGAAGACAUCAAACAGGAGAUGAGACGGUCGGCUCGACUGGUGAGAGAUCCACUUUGAUUUAAUGUUACAUCAGCUACGAGCGUCCAGAGAUCAGAG